rnacentral:rRNA from 1 species
AGCUGCUUUGAUGAAGUUUUCGGAUGGAUUUAAAACAGCUUAGUGGCGGACGGGUGAGUAACGCGUGGGUAACCUGCCUCACACUGGGGGAUAACAGUUAGAAAUAGCUGCUAAUACCGCAUAAGCGCACAGUACCGCAUGGUACGGUGUGAAAAACUCCGGUGGUACAAGAUGGACCCGCGUCUGAUUAGCUGGUUGGUGAGGUAACGGCCCACCUAGUCUUCGAUGGAUAGGGGUUCUGAGAGGAAGGUCCCCACAUUGGAACUGAGACACGGUCCAAACUCC